rnacentral:rRNA from 1 species
UACGUAGGUGGCAAGCGGUGUCCGGAAUUAUUGGGCGUAAAGCGCUCGCAGGCGGUCCUUUAAGUCUGAUGUGAAAUCUCGCGGCCCAACCGCGAACGGUCAUUGGAAACUGGAGGACUUGAGUACAGAAGAGUAGAGUGGAAUUCCACGUGUAGCGGUGAAAUGCGUAGAGAUGUGGAGGAACACCAGUGGCGAAGUCGACUCUCUGGUCUGUAACUGACGCUGAGGAGCGAAAGCGUGGGGAGCGAACAGG